UGCUCCUGGCUGAAGCAGUGCGAGGAGGCUGCUGGAAAACAACUGAUAAAUCCUCUGAGUUUCCCAGGCGGGGGAUACCCACUCUCUGUUGCUCAUGUGUGCAUGACAGAGAUGCUCCUCCGUCGCCAUAGCAACAGCCAACACAUCAGCAUCCUGCAAAAGGCCAGAGCUGCUUGGUGAGGAGCUGGGGUCCUGGCUGGGUGAAAACAGGGCUGGGGCCAGGAAAUGGAACCCUUGAGAGAAGAAUGAAGUGUCCCCAUUCAAGGUCACCCGGGGAAGGUAGAAGCAUUACUUGAAGCGGUUGUUACAUUAGCAGCCAACUGGCCCAGCUCAUGGUGGGGGCCUGGCUAUUCUCUGCUGGCCCUGUACAGAUGUUUAAGAGAAAGGCAUCUGGAGCGUUAGCAUGAGCACCCUCAAAACAGGCCCACCUCCGUGGAGAUGAUGAACACUUGUCAUGGACCGUCCAAAACAGCAGGGGGAUGAUCACAACGACACAAGGUACACAAGGGAAGCCGUCAGAGCGUCUUGGGCUUCCCCAACUGGGAGAGACCUUUCCGAAUCUAACACGUGGCUUCAUAGGUCUCAGAGGAUUGCUGAUGGCUCUGGGAAAAAUGCCUUCUACCUGAGGAAGAGGAAAGUCUUACUGGGUUUUAGAGGAAGAGAGGAAGAAAAGACCCUAAAUUUUUUAUAUUUUUUUACAUUUUUAUAUUUUGUAGAAUUUCCUAAAUCCAAAUCCAGUUCUCUCUUCAAUUCCAGGUAAAAGACUAAUAGUGCCAUAUUGUACCUGGAUGUGGGAUUGAGAUCCGCAGGUGCAGAUGAGGGGAAGAUUUCCACUACAGUUCAUUAAAACCCAGGACCGUGUUUAAUAAAGUACAGGAGGCAAAGACACUUCUUGGCAAGGAUCCAGUGGAAUGUGGAGGAUUUCCGUUGAAGUAGACUGGUUGACAGUUGUACCCACUGAUGAAGAACUUCUGAUCGUACACAACUGACCAAUGAUCUCCUAUGCCCAAUGAGAAAAUAGUCUGUUCUUCCACAAGAAAAUUCUUAUUAAAACCUAUCAGAAAGUAAUGUAA